UUUUCUCCAUUUUCUGAUUUCUUUCUUCUUUUCCCUUUUAAAAACUGUUUAAAGGACUCUACUAAAAGCUUCAGCAACCUCUAACUGCUCCCAUCUGAACCCUGAUUCCCCGACCUCUCCAGCCUCCUCGUCGCUGUCAAUCCGACAUUUCCUCCUGCAAGUCGCCGUGAAUGACCUAAGGCCUCCACAUCGCCUGCUCUUGGUUCUGUUUUGUCCUGGCUCAGCUUGAUGAUUACUGUUAGUUUCUGCAUUGAAGAUACGGUUGUGUAAGUGAAUCAAGACAAUCAGUCAAAUGGCCUUAACCAACUUCAUACUCACGGUGGCGGGUGUCAGUGCUGUGAUUCUGCUGCUUAGGAGUGAUGUCAAGCAAUCUGCCACCAUCUUCAGACGCAAUGUCCGACAGAUACGCCAUUGGCUUGAGGAAGAGUCUGCUUCUGCUGCAAAGGAGAUGGAGAAGGCAAAGCCGAAGGAGAUACCUGGAAAGGAUACACCCAAGGAGGAAAAGCACUAAUUUGGUCCUUGAAGCCUGGUUUAUGUAGGAAACUGUACAUUUUAGCAACCUUUCUUUGGCAUCUGGUCCGUCUUGUAUAAAUCUGAGAGCGUGGAGAGAGUUUUUGGUCUUGAUUAGAUAUUGUUUUUCUGAAGCACAUACUUUGGUACUUCGGAUUCAAUAAUGCUUGGCUUCUAUGCUUUUUGUGAAAUGUUUUGCUUGAAACCCUUUGGGGGGAAAAAGAAAUAAAAAGUCUUAACAAGUUCAAAGGUGGAA